rnacentral:lncRNA from 1 species
AAGAAUAUCUCUAAAAUCUUUAGAGGAAAACAGAAUUAGAGAAUUAAAUUCACCAGACGUUGACAAUGGCUAGUAGAUAUUCUUGUUAAGCAACACUAAUGAAGCUAUGUAAAUGAAUCUCCAAGUACAUAAUUUAAGUCUUGUGAUGGACUAAAGGGAAACGUGGAUACCUUCGAAUAGUUUCUGAAACUAUAACACAGAGACUAUAUAUUUCUCUACCUCCAUAUCAAUCUGUAUUUUUUGUUUAUUUUUUUCCAUGUACUGACACUACAAAACAAAUACAAAUUGAAAAGAAAAAGACCUGGAGAUAAGGAAAGGCUAAGAAACUUAUUAAGAGCACCAAGGAUGGAGAAUCUCACUGCUAAACCAGGAGCAAGUUUUGUUGAUAUAGAGUAAGACUAGCUGAAGCAGAUUAAGUGCCUAAAACUUAUGUCAGAGAUUGAAUAGCCAGUUACAGCUCUGAGUCUUAGUGGAAACCCUGAGAAAAGGUUUCUAUGGUCAAAUAUAAUUGGGAAAUGUAACAUAGUAUACACUGCUCUUUGAUAUUCACAAUACAUAUUAAAGAUUCUGAAGUUUCCUACAGUUCUAUGUGUAUAUAUAUAUAUAUAUAUACACACACACACAGAACUGUAUAUAUUCUAUAUAUAUAGACCGUAUAUAUUCUAUAUAUAUAUAGACUUUACAUAUUCUAUAUAUAGAACUGUAUAUAUUCUAUACUAUAUAUGAAUAUAUAUAUGAAUGUAUAUAUAUGUCUAUAUAUAUACAUAUAUGUAUAUAUACAUGUAUAGACAUUCAUAUAUAUGUAUGAAUGUCUAUAUACGUACAUAUAUACACAUAUAUGUAUAUAUAUUUGUGUGUGUAUAUAUAUAGCUUGAUCCUGCUAGCCUCCACCAAGUUCUAGAAAUUUCUCUAGCUAGAUCUUUCAUAGAGGGCUUGAAAUGAAUUCAUUUAACUUUACUUAAAUCAGAUAGUGCUGCCAUUCUGUUUAAAACUCAUUAAUGGCUUCUGAUUACAUCUAGAGUAAAAUAUCAAAUGCCUAUAGGUCUCAUUAUCAUCUGUCCUGGAUUUCCGCUUGGCCUCUCUUCCCACCAGUCUCCUCUUCACUCUAUCCUCCAGGUUCCUGGCUCUACCUUCAGAACAGUGCAUGAGCCACUGCCUACAUUGCUCUUGCCUUCAUUUCUUACAUGAUCAAUUCUUUCCCUUCUUUCAGGUCCCAACUUCCUCAGAGAGACCUUUUCUAACUAUACUAUCUAACGUGGCUUCCAAUUUCCCUCACUCUCCCCAAAAAAUCCUAUAUUAAUUAUUUAGACCCCUGUGAUCAAUUAUUUUCUCAUUUUAUUUGGAUACCCAACUACAAUAUCCCAAGGACCAUCCUGAGAAUAACAAUUUAUACAAACGAGGAAGAAAGUUAGCUUGAAAUUAUUUCGGUCCUGAUAUUUUGGCCCCAGAGCCCACUAUCCCCCAAUGAUAGUCCCAAUGUCAAUUACUUAAAAGCCUCUAAAGAAGAUAGAAAAUCUUAUUCAUGCAGCUGAGGUAGAGCCUCACACCUAGUCCAAUCAACUACAAUGAGGAGCCCCGCCAUACACAUAUGACGCCCUGUGUAGCUAUAGGCUGGGCGGAUCCU